AGGAUGAAGACGAGCUAGCUCUGCGCAUGUGUGCGUGUGGGAGAAAGGCCAGUUGCAGUCAGUGUCACGGUGCUGUUUUUGAAACUCUGCAGGUCCCUCAUAGGCCGGCUGAUAUCACCCAUGCCAGGAUUGCUUGGCCUUGACAGAGCCUGUGUUAGAAGGGACUAUCAUGAAGGUAUCCAAGAUACUAAAGGGCUGAAACAAGCCCCUCUCUUGUCUUCACAGUAUCUUCCAGUGGCAGACAGGAGGCCACUGGAUGAAGCUGAGGACAAAUAAAUGUCAAUAAACCACCACUGGGAGCUGCUGCUCCCCCAUUUCCCGUGGCCUGCAGGGGGUCACUGAGUUAAAUGUUACAGCUGAUUGUGAAA
rnacentral:lncRNA from 1 species